GAGCGUAGCGCAUCGCCUCGUGAUUGAAAAAGGCCAUCGGAAGCCGUCAAGGUCGUCUUUGUUGUUGCCUUUGCGAGGAAAGUGUGGGGGAGGAGGAGGGCAUCUCCGUCGUACUCAUCCCAGACGAAGAGCGGGCGGAGACACACGAACGAGGAACGACGGCGGACAGGUUGGUGGGUGCAUAUGGAGAAGUUCCGCCACUUCGGUGAUGCCGCGACGGGCAUACAUCCCUUCACCUUCGUGAUGGCCCCGACCGCCGCCGGUCGAAUCGGCUCCAUCUGCAUGUUUCCCGCACGUCUUCUCUUGAGCGCCGUGUUUGCACUUCUCCUGCUCGUGACAGACACGCUGCUAUGGCUUUUCUACGUCGCCUAUCUCGGCCUGCUCGGUCGCCUCCUCCUGGCGCCGCUGCAGCGAGCGUGGUUGCGUGGUCUACUCUUCUCCAUCGGCAACAUCCUUCCACAGCAGCCAGCGGCAAUGGUGAAGCCUCAGCAACAGGGGCGUGAGGCGAGUGAUUCCUCCCGUGCAGCCCGCGCGGGUGACCUCGUUGUGUGCAACCUGCAGUCUGUGUGGGAUGCCUUGGUGCUCGAGGUGAUGCUAGCGCAGCCGUACCACGCCAUUUGCUUCCCAGAUGCGACGAUGGCGGGAGAAGACGGUUCCGCAUCGUCAGCAGAGGCAGCUGCAGCGCCUGGUCUGCGCGUCUUCUGGCCUGGACCCACGCAGCGCUGGCGAGUGUGGGCCUACACCCGCCGCACCAGCUCCCUCGCCUUUCUCAGGGCGCAGCAGCCGGACAGCGCCGAACAGCAGGCCAUCCGAAAGAAGACGGAAGUGACGGAGCUGCCGCUCUACCGUGUGCAGAAAGCAGCAGCGCUUUCCGGGGUGCCUGUGUGGUGGUUCGGCGAGGGCACGUGUAGCAAUGGGCGUGGACUGCUGCUCAUGCCGGCGGUAAAGUGCGCAUCUGCCGUGCCCUCCGACGCAUCGGCAGGGUGCGUGGUGCACCUCGCCACGAUCCAGUACGACUCGCCCGCCAUGCAGAACGUGCUUGGCAGUGAUAAUGAAAGCUUCUUCGCGGCGCUCUUCCGCACUGGGUUGCUUCUGUACGGCAGCACGGCGCCGGCCUGGACAAGCCCCCUCUUCCCUACCGCUGAGGUGACGUACCGCAGCACGCGUCUUGCGCGCGCCACACCGUCAACGGCGACAGAUAGCAAAUCUGCCGCAUCGAGGUGCCACUGGACGCUGUCCGCGCCGGCGCUGCUGGAGCUGCGCAACGCCAUGUGUCAGCGAGGGCAGGCGCUGGUCGUGAGCGGCAGCGUUGCUGGCGUGCGCCGCCAGCCGGUGUCGGUCGGCGUGAAGGAGAAGAAGGGCUUCAUAGAGGCGUACAGGGCUAUGCUGGACAGCAAAAAGGCAUCGCCGUCUGCGUGAAGCGCGAGAGUGUGACGAUGAAUGCGUGCCAGGGUCGGCACGCACGUCCACGCGCAUCAUGAACAGGUGCCGUGCACGACUAGUGCGAACUGACAGAUUGGUUGCGCUUGGGCGGCAUGGUCGCAGCAACACAAAGGUGGCUGCGCUAGCAC
rnacentral:misc_RNA from 1 species